CCAAGGCCAGUAAAACACAAAUAGCAAUGCAAUUCUAAUAAGCUUACCAUAUUCAUAGACUUGACGGUGAUAAGGAUGGCGGAAAACCGGUAUAUAUCUUUGCAGCGGUAAUUGGACGUUCCAACACGCAAAUCCUCUUGAGAACCAAUGUUUUGGGCUCCAGUGAGAAAUAUAAUGUAUCUGGCCUGCCCUCCUUCAAAGAGCAUUCGAACCAGUCCAGUAGCCUCCCUUCCAAGAGCAAGUAUCCGUCAGCUGCAUCUAUGAUGCGAAACAUAUACUCCAUGGGCAAGGGCAAGGGGAUUAUUUUGUCAAAAUUCAAUGGUGGCCCAUUGGCAGCAUCAGCUUCGACUUGCCUAAUUGUAUAACAGAGCUGAGUUCUUGUAGUGAAGCCUAAGUCUGUCCUGAGAGAGAAAACUCCAACCAUAUCUUCCUCUGCCUCCUCCAGAAUGGCAAUGUUUGACAUGUGUUCAUCCCUCUCGAGGUCAAUGGUGAAGAACACCAUCUCACAAGUGUCAAGAACGAGCAACUUGUCCAUCUCCUUCAGCACCCAGUACAAGCGGCAAUGUGCAUACUGUCGACGACAACCAGGGAUCGGCGGUCAAGAGAGACCAACUGACAGAUCUGGAGCUGUGCCAUUCCUCGGUGAGUGAAGAGAAGACGAAGAUGACCACCUUGCUUUCGUAGUUCGCCCUCGCCACCACUCUGAAUGACGUCGUGCCCACCAUCUCCUCCUCCUCCUUGGCGGCGGGAGCGAGGAAGGUCUCGAAAACGAGGAGGCCCUCCUGCUCACCGGAGGUGAUCAGGUCGUCGGGGAUUGGGGGGAGGAUGACGUAACGCCUGGAUACGGGGUCACAGACGGCGAGAUCCGCCAUGUUCCUGGUGUCGAACGGGACGAGUUCCCCUUCACCGGCGUCGUCGUUGUCGGAUAGGCUGCGUUCGAGGAGGACGCGGCCAUCCCGGCAAUCCUGUUGAAUCCAGCGGCAGGGGGACGGGAGGAACGAGAAGGUGAAGUCGGCGGCCUGAGCGAGGGCUCGGGCGGCGGCGGCGGCGGAGGGGUGGGGCGGCUCGGCGGGGUGGAAGCCGUCGUGGCCGAGUAGUCCCAGGAGGGGAGCCGGCUUGUGGAGGGAGCGGUAGCGGCGGAGGAAGGAGCGGCCGGUGACGAGGCGGCGGAGGCCCGUGCGAGGUCGGCGGGCGAGGCGAUGCGGAGGAAGAUCUCCUCGAGGAGCUCGUCGGCGAGUUGAGGUAGGUCGUAGAUCGGCUCCUGCUCCGGCGAGGACAUCGUGUCGGCGGCCGCCGGUGGUCGGGGCGGCGAGAGCAGUAGGGGGACUGGGCAGGAGUGAGGCGGAUGGGCAAGUGAUGUACGGAGUAG
rnacentral:sRNA from 1 species